CUCUGGCUUCACCUUUCAAAACAUCUGUUGCAGACCUAAGAGCAAGGGCUAUAUUAGAUUAAAAAGUAGCAAUUAUCAUGAUAAGCCAAUCAUAUCAACUGGCU
rnacentral:ribozyme from 1 species